CCCCCUCGCCGUAAGCCCAAGGUUUCCUACGCAACGUUCAUCGGCGUAGGGUGAGUCGGCCCCUAAGGCGAGGCAGAAAUGCGUAGCUGAUGGGAAGCAGGUCAAUAUUCCUGCACCGUCGUUAGAUGCGAUGGGGGGACGGAUCGCGGAAGGUUGUCCGGGUGUUGGAAGUCCCGGUCGCUGCAUUGGAGAAGGCGCUUAGGCAAAUCCGGGCGCAGGAUUCAAGGGUGUGGCGCGAGCUCCUUCGGGAGCGAAGCAAUUGGAAGUGGUUCCAAGAAAAGCCUCUAAGCUUCAGUCUAACGAUGACC
rnacentral:rRNA from 1 species